rnacentral:rRNA from 1 species
AUUUAAAAUCUUGCUUUCAAAAUCAAAAAAAAACUAGUAAAAGCCUAAUUUUUAUAAAAACAAUUUAUUAAAAAAUAAAGAUGAAGUAAAAUUUAUUGAAACAAACUACUUAAAGCUAUAGUAAAAAGUACUGUAAAGGAAAGAUGAAAUAAAAUGAAAAUUUUAAAUAAUUUUUAGCAAUUAUAAAAACUUGUACCUUGUGUAUCAGGGAAAAUCAAAUUAAUAUCCUUUAACAAGGUAAAUCCCGAAAAAAGAAGAGCUAAAUUAGUAAAAAGUUGUCGUAUUAAAGACAUUUUUAAUUCUGCUUUAGUAAUGAAAUGUUAAUCGGUUCUUUAUAUCUGGUUAUAAGUGAAUUAAAUUUAAUUUUAUGGCAUUUGUCUUAAAUACUUUGUCUUAAAGAAAAGAAGGGAUAAGCUUUUUUUUCUAAAAAUAAUUUUACUGAGUUUAUACACACAUAAAUAAAACUUUUAUAAAUUUUAAAAUUAGGCUUAGAAGCAGCCAUAUUAAAAAAGCGUUUUAGCUAAUAAAAUAAUAAAUUAAUAUUUAUUAAUUAUAAAACCUGUACUAAUAACUUAUAAGUUAAUAAAUCAACAUUAUUAAAUGUUAAAAUGAUGUUAUAAGUAGAUAAUUUAUUGUGUUAAAUUAAUUAAAAGUAAAAUAAAUACAAUUCUGUAAAUGUUAAAUAACUUUAAUAUAUAAUUAAGGAACUCGGCAAAUAUUGGCUUUUGCCUGUUUAUCAAAAACAUGUCUGUGCGAUAGUUAUGUAGAGUCUGGCCUGCCCACUGAUAUAUAGUUUAAAGGGCCGCGGUAUAUUGACCGUGCGAAGGUAGCAUAAUCAUUAGUCUUUUAAUUGAAGGCUUGUAUGAAUGGUCGGACAAAAAGUAAGCUGUCUUCAAUUAUAAAAAUUGAAUUUGACUUUUAAGUGAAAAGGCUUAAAUAAUACAAAGUGACGAUAAGACCCUAUAAAGCUUUAUAGUCUAAUUUUCUACUACAAAUUACUAACGCGUAUAACCUAAUUUAAAAUGAAACUAUUUCGUUGGGGCGACGAAAAUAUAAUAAAAUAACUGUUUUUGCUUAAUUAAAACAAAUAUAAUUGGUUCUAAUUAAUGAUCCUUUAUUAAAGAUUAAAAGAUUAAGUUACUUUAGGGAUAACAGCGUAAUCUUCUUUAAGAGUCCAUAUCGACAAGAAGGGUUGCGACCUCGAUGUUGAAUUAAGGUUCCCUUGUGGUGCAGCAGCUACGAGUUGGAGGUCUGUUCGACCUUUAAAUCCUUACAUGAUUUGAGUUCAGACCGGCGUAAGCCAGGUCGGUUUCUAUCUUUUGUUUAAUUUAAAACUACUUUAGUACGAAAGGAUUAAGUAGUUAAAAUAUUUUUUUUAUUAAGAUCGACGUUAACUCAGAUUGCUUUGGCAGAAUUAUGCAUUAGACUUAGGAUC